rnacentral:rRNA from 1 species
UAGCGUAGGGUGCAAGCGUUGUCCGGAAUUAUUGGGCGUAAAGAGCUCGUAGGCGGUCUGUCGCGUCUGCUGUGAAAACUCAGGGCUUAACCCUGAAGCUUGCAGUGGGUACGGGCAGACUAGAGUCCGGAAGAGGAGAAUGGAAUUCCUGGUGUAGCGGUGAAAUGCGCAGAUAUCAGGAAGAACACCCGUGGCGAAGGCGGUUCUCUGGGACGGUACUGACGCUGAGACGCGAAAGCGUGGGGAGCGAACAGG